CGGGCCAUUUGCAUCGGGCCUCGGCAGCUCCUCCUCCCCUGCAGCCCAGCGCCCUGCUCCGGCAGCACUGUGCAGGGGCAGGGGCAGGGACCGGGUUGUGUGUUGCGCUGGGGAGCGCAGCCACGUGUCUGGCUCCGCACAGAGCCCAACACCAUGUUCUGAGCGGCAGGAACAUACCUUAUCGCAGCGGAUUCCACGUGUGACCUGCAAUGUGUAAAAGAAUGAAACAGGGAGCGUGAGUACAGGAGCAGCCAUCCAAAGUGUCAGUUCCUGGGAACUAAAAUUCGGCAGAGUUCUUUUCCUUCAGGACUAAAGCAUUCAGACAGCUGCAGAAAAGGAGCUGCUAAGAGCCUUGGCAAGCAGGAAAUGUUUCUUCAGCAGUUGGCCUUUCACAGGCCUUUUUUCCUCCCUCAAAGAGUCCAAACUAGAUGAUUACCCCUUCUGGCCUUAACAUCAAUGAUGCUAUGAAUCUGUGGCUUGCCGAAAAUGAGCCGUGUUCAGGUGUGGGAGUUGCAAUCAGUGCUACGUGUCAUUCUGUGUGGGACUCUCAGUGUGACCUUGAGAAGGUCAGUCUGUUCCACACGCUGCAUUGCCAAGAAGGGAUGAUGAAAGAGCCAUCAACUUUGAAUGACACGUGAGGACUGGCCCGCCUCAGGGGACACAGGAUUCCUUCAUGUCGGACUCGCAUGCCGAAUUUUGCAGUCUGGGCACAUGGCAAACAGCCCCAGAGAGAGGGGAUGCUCUCUGAAAAUGUGGGGGCUGUCCUCCACCACAUGUCAGAAGCCCAGCUGGAGGGAGGGAGGGAGGGAGAGAGAGAGAGAGAGAGAGAGAGUAAGAGGGACUCUGCCUGAAAAGCUGACCAGACCUUUGACUCACAGAAGGGGUCAGAUCGGACGGGGGAAGUGUGCCUUGGGACUGUUGGUUGUUUUGCAAAGAUCUGUAACUCUCUUGUGCUUUCCUGAAAGUAAAAGUGACAUGUGUUCCUUA